GUCAUCACUUAGUUUAGAUGAUGUUACUGAGUCUGUGGCAAAUGACUUUCUUGACAUGCUGGGGAUUGAGCUCAGUCCAUUAGUCUUGAGUUCAGAGAGUGAACCUGAGUCGCCAAGGGAACGCUUACUAAGACAGUUUGAGAAGGAUGCCCUAGCUGGGGGUUAUUCCAUGUUUGAUUUUGGUGUUGACAUUGAGGACCAAAUAGAAUGUGACCACAACACAUCAACUGUAUCUGAGUGGG
rnacentral:misc_RNA from 1 species